AGUGGGGUCCAGAAAUGCAAUCCCCCUAAUUACCCGAUGCUGGCACUCAAGAGGUGUUCUCUGUGUGGGUUACCGGCUGGGUCAUGUGAGUGGUGCUGCUGGAGAGAGGCAGGGGUGCUUGCCCAUCAGAUUUAUUCACAUUACCAAUAAUGUUCAUAUAACACACUUUAACUAGAUUUUGACCCCUGCAAAAAUAACCCAAAAAUGAAGUCCUCUUUUCCUGUGGCUGAGGCUUGAAACCGAAUCAGAAGCAUAUUGCUCUGGCUUCUCUUCAGUGAAAUUAAAAGAAAAAGGUUCAGUGUAUGAUGGAUGUUUUCAGAGAAAGUACUUGCAUUUUUUAUAAUAUAAUGCCAACUGUAUCACAAUCUCUAUAAAGGUGCAGACCAUGUCCAGCCUAUUUGCCAAUGACACCAUAUUACUACUGCAUGAUGAUAAAGUCAGAUAUUAUUACUCAGAGAUGGUUUUGCAGAAAGUGCUAGUCAGAGGGACAGAAAAGACAUGGGAUCAGCAAACUGGCUUGACUCAGAUGUGUGAGGAUCAGGAGCUCUACAGUCUGACAAGAAUACCAGGAAGAAUGAAAAAGGAGAAACCUAUAUAAUAAUUAACUUGGGUGUUUCUAACUUCUUCAACAACAUAAAAUUAUUCCUCAAGAACUACAGAAUGAAGAUGAAAACAUGAUUCAUUCUUCUUUUCUUUCAAUUAAAAAAAGCUGAAAUUAACAUCAAAAGGAUUGUCUAGAAGUUGUAAUUAUGCUUUAGCAAG
rnacentral:lncRNA from 1 species